AGCGCAGACGGUUGAUUAAGUCUGAUGUGAAAAGCCCGGAGCUCAACUCCGGAAUGGCAUUGGAAACUGGUUAACUUGAGUGUUGUAGAGGUAAGUGGAACUCCAUGUGUAGCGGUGGAAUGCGUAGAUAUAUGGAAGAACACCAGUGGCGAAGGCGGCUUACUGGACAACAGCUGACGUUGAGGCUCGAAAGUGUGGGUAGCAAACA
rnacentral:rRNA from 1 species